GGGAAACAGCCGGGAUCUAUCAGAGAUUGAAACUCACCCACCGGCGCCGCCGCUCCGCAGAGUGUAGAAGUCGCCGCUUUUCGCGGAUCCCGGCGAGCCUUCCUGCUCUCCCGUUUCGCUGAUCGCAUCGUGAAAUAAUUCGAUCGCUCAUAGUUAUUCUGGCUGCGAAGGAAAUCGAGGCAAGAUGGAAAUCGAGCCCCUGCUUCUCCUGAACCUCCAGAGCCGGAUUCCCCUUCGUCGCCUUCAGCUCAACUAGUGCUUCUGGGCGAAGAUCAGCGCUGCCCCUCCGAUAAGCACCGAACUCGCCUAAGAGCAAUUGUUAUGCUCGAGUGGUGGCAGAUUUGUCUUGAGCACAAUCAAGGGUCUUUCACUCCAAGCAAAACUCGGUGAGCAGGCUAUGUGAGCUAGCUUUUGAUGAACUCCUCUCCUGGAAGACCGCGGGCUGUGCAGCUGUUGCUUCCUUUUAGAUGAUUGAGCAAUGUUGGUUUCAUGGGGUUCGUCCCCCCAAGGAUCUGUCCCCGUUUUAUUGUUAGCUCUGGUUCUAGUUUUUAGUCCUCUAUGUUGCUGUUGUUGCCAUAUAAUUAACUUUAUCUACCAUCUUAAGUAAUUGAAAGCAGCACUGUCACGUUUUCGUCCAAAAAAAUUGCUAGAUCAAGUAUGAGCUCGUCAAACCGAUCAUCAGCUGUGCAAUGCUGAAUCAAAAGGUUCAUGGGGUCAUGUAAAUUUCAGAGCUAAAAGCACUUUAAAGAAUUCAGAGGAUCAGUUCUUCUUUGUGCCUACAUGCAUAGUGUCGCUAGAAGAGAACGAAAGACGGAAAGAGUUGACGGGUUUCGAGAAACUUUAAGUUACGUGGAUUGCACGCCUCCCGCUAUGCUUGUGGAGAACUAUUGAAGCACCCAGCGGACGGGUCAUUAUACGAGGCCGGUCACAUUGCAAGUGAUGAUUGUUAUGGGAUUAUGCAGCGAAGCUGUGAAGACACUAUUAUGUUUUUUUGUUUUUGUUUUAAGAAAGACACAAAAUAUAAGACCUACUUCGUUCUU